UACGUAGGUGGCAAGCGUUGUCCGGAUUUAUUGGGUUUAAAGGGUGCGUAGGCGGCCUUGUAAGUCAGUGGUGAAAUACUCCAGCUUAACUGGAGGGGUGCCAAUGAUACUGCAGGGCUUGAGUACAGAUGAGGUAGGCGGAAUUGACGGUGUAGCGGUGAAAUGCAUAGAUAUCGUCAAGAACACCGAUAGCGAAGGCAGCUUACUGGGCUGUAACUGACGCUGAGGCACGAAAAGUGUGGGGGAUCAAAACAGGG
rnacentral:rRNA from 1 species